GUUUGAAUUUUCGUCAGAUGUGCCACUGACAUAAUGGCUGUAUUAUGGGUGAAAUAUUUGCCACUAGACGUUUAGUAAAACCCAUUCAAAUCCAAAUCAAACCGCUCUAUUUGAUGCAAAAGAAACGUGACAGGCAGUGCUAUCGAGGUAUAUGAUCAGAUUUUUUUCAGCCAUCAGUGCACAUGAUAAAUAAGUGAUGCACGAAAAAAAAGGAGAUGUAAGAUAUACGCCAAUGAGACAGCAACCGAACUACGGAAAUAACCGAAAGCCAUCUAAAGGGAGACGUGUCGACUUCAACAAAAGACAAAUAUUCCAACAUUAUGUCUUAUAAGUGCUAUCAAUUAUUUAUUUCGGACAGAACUCGGAC
rnacentral:lncRNA from 1 species